UUCGCAAUGCCCGAAAGGGUGACGAAGCGACGCCGCGUGGGUGAGGAAGGCCUUCGGGUUGUAAAGCCCUGUCAGGAGUUAAGAAAUGUAGACUCGCUAAUAUCGGGUCUAUUUGACGAAGGCUCCAAAGGAAGCCACGACUAACUCUGUGCCAGCAGCCGCGGUAAUACAGAGGUGGCAAGCGUUGUCCGGAAUUAUUGGGCGUAAAGAGCACGUAGGUGGAUUUGUAAGUCAGACGUGAAAGCCUUCUGUUCAACGGAAGAAUUGCAUCUGAAACUACAAACCUUGAGUGUAGGAGGGGAGAAUGGAACUUCUGGUGGAGCGGUGAAGUGCGUAGAUAUCAGAAGGAACGCCGGCGGCGAAAGCGAUCCUCUGGCCUAUUACUGACACUCAGUGUGCGAAAGCUAGGGGAGCAAACGGGAUUAGAUACCCCGGUAGUCCUAGCCGUAAACGAUGGGCACUAAGUAGAGGGGUUUU
rnacentral:rRNA from 1 species